rnacentral:rRNA from 1 species
GAUGAACGCUGGCGGCGUGCCUAAUACAUGCAAGUCGAGCGAACAGACGAGGAGCUUGCUCCUCUGACGUUAGCGGCGGACGGGUGAGUAACACGUGGAUAACCUACCUAUAAGACUGGGAUAACUUCGGGAAACCGGAGCUAAUACCGGAUAAUAUAUUGAACCGCAUGGUUCAAUAGUGAAAGACGGUUUUGCUGUCACUUAUAGAUGGAUUCGCGCCGCAUUAGCUAGUUGGUAAGGUAACGGCUUACCAAGGCAACGAUGCGUAGCCGACCUGAGAGGGUGAUCGGCCACACUGGAACUGAGACACGGUCCAGACUCCUACGGGAGGCAGCAGUAGGGAAUCUUCCGCAAUGGGCGAAAGCCUGACGGAGCAACGCCGCGUGAAUGAUGAAGGUCUUCGGAUCGUAAAACUCUGUUAUUAGGGAAGAACAAAUGUGUAAGUAACUAUGCACGUCUUGACGGUACCUAAUCAGAAAGCCACGGCUAACUACGUG